GCCUUCUGGCUGAGAUAUUCACUCCAGAGGGUCUGGGCAGAUCAAUUAAUUGCUCCUCAACUCUUUUGGAUGAUUUGAUGACAGAAAGAAUCCUUGCCACACACACCAUUAUAGAUGUUCCUGGAGUGGAGAGUCCUCAAGGCUUGGAAGGACAACCUUUAUGAAGACACUGAGGACAGCAGGGGGCCAUUAGUUGCUGGGGAUCGUUGGGCAUUUUGAAAUGACUGGACUCUUGUAACUCUGCUGGAAUACUGAAUUAUGUUGAAGGGGCUAUAAAGCAGAAGCUCAAGGGGGCCAGUGCUUUUGCAUGGCCGCUCAGAUGAGACUCACGCCUCAUGUUCUAAGCUGGAUUUUUCCAUUAAGAACAACAACAAAAAAAAUGGAAUGGAAGAAGACAGCAAGCCUGUGUCCUGAGGAUGUCAGGGGCUACUCCCAAGAAACCCGUUUGAUGCCUGGGACCUUACCGCUGUCUGAUCCUUCAACCGGAGGCUUGUUUCACUUCUGACCACUGGACAGGAGGUGAGCAUUUAUGUGUUUUAAAAACAAGCUCCUAAGAGAUGCUUUGGCUGUCUGGGAAUGGCCACAGUCUGAAUGGACGGAAGAGACACAGGUGGAGCGCAGAGGCGGAAUAUCCACUGUCUCAAAGGAAAAGGCCAGGGUCCAGCUUCAAUUCACGUUAGAGGCAGACACCUUGGCCUUGAAUGUGGCCGUGACACAGUCUGUAGAAAGGGUAGAAUUAUAAUAGAAGUGCUAUGACUGACUCUGAGCAGGGCUGGUGGGAGCAGUGGUGAAGAGCCUACCUACUGGCCUAACAACCACUGGACUGUGUGACCCUGAGACAUCUGAGGGCAUCCUCUAUGUGGCCCCUCUAUGUGGCCCCUCGAUAUUUCUGGGUUGAUUUUCUUUUUAUCUUUGCAGUGCUAAGUAGUAUCUUCAGCCCUAUUUAUUUUGGGUGUUUUGAGACAGAGUCUGAGUCUUACUUUGUAGCCCAGACUGGCCUAGAAUCCAUCCUGCUGUCUUUUCUUUUUUCUCUUGGUGGGGGGAGCGGGUGGCAGGGGGUGGGGAUGGGCCGCAGAUUUAUUUUGA